rnacentral:rRNA from 1 species
AUUGAACGCUGGCGGCAUGCCUUACACAUGCAAGUCGAACGGCAGCGGACCUUCGGGUGCCGGCGAGUGGCGAACGGGUGAGUAAUAUAUCGGAACGUACCUUUCAGUGGGGGAUAACGUAGCGAAAGUUACGCUAAUACCGCAUAUUCUGUGAGCAGGAAAGCAGGGGAUCGCAAGACCUUGCGCUGAUUGAGCGGCCGAUAUCAGAUUAGCUAGUUGGUGAGGUAAAGGCUCACCAAGGCGACGAUCUGUAGCGGGUCUGAGAGGAUGAUCCGCCACACUGGAACUGAGACACGGUCCAGACUCCUACGGGAGGCAGCAGUGGGGAAUUUUGGACAAUGGGCGCAAGCCUGAUCCAGCCAUGCCGCGUGAGUGAAGAAGGCCUU